UGCAGUCGACGAGAAAUCUCGAGCUUGCUCGAGAGAGUAAAGUGGCGCACGGGUGAGUAACGCGUGGGUAACCUGCCCUUAAGCCUGGGAUAAUCCACCGAAAGGUGGCCUAAUACCGGAUGCCGUCACGAGAACUCCGGUUCUCGGGAUGAAAACUGACCUCUUCAUGAAAGUUGGCGCUUAGGGAGGGGCUCGCGUACCAUUAGCUUGUUGGUAGGGUAAUGGCCUACCAAGGCGACGAUGGUUAGCUGGUCUGAGAAGACAACCAGCCACACUGGAACUGAGACACGGUCCAGACUCCUACGGGAGGCAGCAGUGAGGAAUCUUGCGCAAUGGGGGAAACCCUGACGCAGCGACGCCGCGUGGGUGAAGAAGGCCUUCGGGUCGUAAAGCUCUGUCAAGUGGGAAUAACGUCCUGUUGUUAAUGGCAGCAGGAUCUGAAGGUACCACUAAAGGAAGCACCGGCUAACUCCGUGCCAGCAGCCGCGGUAAUACGGAGGGUGCCAGCGUUAUUCGGAUUUAUUGGGCGUAAAGAGCGUGUAGGCGGUUGGGACAGUCAGAUGUGAAAUCCUUCUGCUCAACGGAAGAAGUACGUCUGAAACUGCCUAACUUGAGUACGAGAGAGGAAAGUGGAAUUCCCAGUGUAGAGGUGAAAUUCGUAGAUAUUGGGAGGAACACCCGUGGCGAAGGCGACUUUCUGGAUCGAUACUGACGCUGAGACGCGAAAGCGUGGGGAGCAAACAGGAUUAGAUACCCUGGUAGUCCACGCCGUAAACGAUGGGAACUAGGUGUAGUGGGUAUUGAUCCCUACUGUGCCGAAGCUAACGCAUUAAGUUCCCCGCCUGGGGGAGUACGGGUCGCAAGGCUAAAACUCAAAGGGAAUUGACGGGGGGCCCGCACAAGCGGGUGGAGCAUGUGGUUUUAAUUCYAUGCAMCSCGAAGAACCUUACCUGKGGUUUGAMUUCCUCUGACAGUCCCUGAARAGGGAAYYUUCCSAAUUWWUCGGGAACAAAUGACAGGCUUGAUGGCUGUCUCUACCCUCUGUCC
rnacentral:rRNA from 1 species